rnacentral:misc_RNA from 1 species
GAUGAAGAACGUAGCGAAAUGCGAUAAGUAAUGUGAAUUGCAGAAUUUAGUGAAUCAUCGAAUCUUUGAACGCAUAUUGCGCCCUUUGGUAUUCCGAAGGGUAUGCUCGUUUGAGUGUCAUUGUACUCUCACACUUCCGAUCGUUUGGAUCGGGAGCGGUGGACUUGGGUGUUGCUGCUUUACUGUGGCUCACCUUAAAUGCAUUAGUGCACCUUUCGGUUGGACAUAGUACGGCGUGAUAAGUGUCUUCGCCGGCACCUCGCAAGAGGGUGGCCGAUCGGGAGCUCUGUGCUUUCAAACCGUCUUCGGACAAUUUCUGACAACUUGACCUCAAAUCGAGUAGGACUACCCGCUGAACUUAAGCAUAUCAAUAAGCGGAGGA